rnacentral:rRNA from 1 species
ACAGGAUUAGAUACCCUGGUAGUCCACGCUGUAAACGAUGUCGACUUGGAGGUUGUGCCCUUGAGGUGUGGCUUCCGGAGCUAACGCGUUAAGUCGACCGCCUGGGGAGUACGACCGCAAGGUUAAAACUCAAAUGAAUUGACGGGGGCCCGCACAAGCGGUGGAGCAUGUGGUUUAAUUCGAUGCAACGCGAAGAACCUUACCUGGUCUUGACAUCCACGGAAGUUUUCAGAGAUGAGAAUGUGCCUUCGGGAACCGUGAGACAGGUGCUGCAUGGCUGUCGUCAGCUCGUGUUGUGAAAUGUUGGGUUAAGUCCCGCAACGAGCGCAACCCUUAUCCUUUGUUGCCAGCGGUCCGGCCGGGAACUCAAAGGAGACUGCCAGUGAUAAACUGGAGGAAGGUGGGGAUGACGUCAAGUCAUCAUGGCCCUUACGACCAGGGCUACACACGUGCUACAAUGGCGCAUACAAAGAGAAGCGACCUCGCGAGAGCAAGCGGACCUCAUAAAGUGCGUCGUAGUCCGGAUUGGAGUCUGCAACUCGACUCCAUGAAGUCGGAAUCGCUAGUAAUCGUGGAUCAGAAUGCCACGGUGAAUACGUUCCCGGGCCUUGUACACACCGCCCGUCACACCAUGGGAGUGGGUUGCAAAAGAAGUAGGUAGCUUAACCUUCGGGAGGGCGCUUACCACUUUGUGAUUCAUGACUGGGGUGAAGUCGUAACAAGGUAACCGUAGGGGAACCUGCGGUUGGAUCACCUCCUUA